rnacentral:rRNA from 1 species
GGAUUGUAAACCUAAGUAGUCAGGGACGAAGAAAUGACGGUACCUGAAGAGUAAGCUCCGGCUAACUACGUGCCAGCAGCCGCGGUAAUACGUAGGGAGCGAGCGUUGUCCGGAUUUACUGGGUGUAAAGGGUGCGUAGGCGGGCUGUCAAGUCAGAUGUGAAAUACCGGGGCUCAACUCCGGGGCUGCAUUUGAAACUGAUGGUCUUGAGUGAAGUAGAGGCAGGCGGAAUUCCUAGUGUAGCGGUGAAAUGCGUAGAUAUUAGGAGGAACACCAGUGGCGAAGGCGGCCUGCUGGGCUUUAACUGACGCUGAGGCACGAAAGCAUGGGGAGCAAACAGGAUUAGAUACCCUGGUAGUCCAUGCUGUAAACGAUGAUAGCUAGGUGUGGGAGGACUGACCCCUACCGUGCCGGAGUAAACACGAUAAGCUAUCCACCUGGGGAGUA